rnacentral:rRNA from 1 species
AUGCCCGCUGAUGCAAGUACGCCGCCGGUGCCUCUCAUGCCUCCUUUGCCGCAGAGGUCCCGUUGCUCCCAUCACCACCUCCUCUCCCUCCUCCUUGACAUCUCCUCCUCCCCCUUACCCGUUUCAACUGACACUGAACACCACAAGUAUGCCGCCGGCUCCGUGCUGCCCAUUCUUGACGGCGGUGCCGCCGCAGGCGCCCCUUCUUUUCUGAGAUGGAUGGAUGAGGUGGUGCGUGGGAGAGAGAUGGGGGCCAUGGGGCUGAGCGGGAAAUACAGGGGGUUAUAUGCAAAAGUGUAA